UCUGGCUGAUCCUGCUAGUAGUCACACACUUGUCUCAGAGGCUAAGCCAUACAUGUCUAAGUACAUACCUUUAACCGGUGGGGCCGCGAAUGGCCCAUUAAGUCAGCCAUGGUUCCUUGGAUCGUUCAUACUACAUGGAUAACCGUAGUAAUUCUGAAGCUAGUACGUGCCACUGUGCCCUGACCCGCGAGGGGGCGGGUGGAUUCGUUAGAACAUGACCAACCGAGGGCGGCUUUGGUCGCCCCUGUUGCAUUCUGUGUUGGCCCUGGAUAACUUCACUGAUCGCCGUCGUCCUUGUGUCGGCGACCGAUCUUUCAAACGUCCGCCCUAUUAAUUUUCGAAUGAGGGUGAUCUGCUUACCGUGGUGCUAACGGAUAAAGGAGAAUCGGGGUUUGAUUCCACGGGAGGGACCCUGAGAAGUGGCUUCUAAUUCUAAGGAAGGCAGCGGGCAGGCAAAUACCCGAUCCCAGCAGGGAGAGGUAGUGACGAAAAAUACGGAUAGGGGACUCACUAGAGGCUUUGAAAUUCGAAUGAGUACAAUUUUAACCCCUCAAAGUAGAUCAACUGGAGGGCAAGUCUGGUGCCAGCAGCCACGGUUACUCUAGCUUCAGAAGCUUAUGUUAAAGUUGUUGUAGUUAAAAAGCUCGUAGUUGGAUCUGGGUCGCAUAGCUACAUACUGUCGCUCGUGGGUCUGGCCUGGUUGCUGCUGGGCUGUGCUUGCUAGUCGGUCCCGUGGGUAUGCUUCCUUUCUGCUGUGUCUCUUUACGGGUGUCAGCGUGACUGGUGGGCUUGCCUGCUAGUCUGUUGGAAUGCCUCUCGGUGCCUUUAUUCGGGUAUCGCAAAAGGACAGCAAGUUUACUUCGAACAAAUUUGAGUGCUCAAAGCAGGCCAUUGUGCCUGUAAAUUCUUGCAUGGAAUAAAGAAAUAGGACUUCGGUUCUGUUUUAUUGGUUCACGGAUCAUACACAUUGGGCCUCUGUAUGGCCGUGUAAGAGGUGAAAUUCCUGGAUCGUCGCUAGACAAACCACUGCGAAGACAUUUGCCAAGGAUAUUUUCACUGAUCUUUAGCGAAAGUCAGGGGCUCGAGGACCAUCACGUAUCGUCCUGGUUCCGAUCAUAAACGACGUCAACUGACGAUCCGUGAUGAAUAACGAAAGAAACUCCGGCCCGCUAAAUAGUACGCCUCUCAUCCGUUCUCGUGCAGGUUGCAUUGUCCAUUGUUUCCUAGUGGGGUACUGGUUGUAAGUCAAUUCUCGCAAAUCGAGCUGCGCGUAUCCAAUUCAAAAGAAUCCCAAAACCAGAACAAGGCUGAUUCUUAGUUUCAACGGUUUUCAAGUGAAAUUUAUAAAAGUUACAAAUGUAUGCAAACCUCAGGCAUGCAGCCAAAUAGACCCCACAGAAAAACCCAACGGUUGAAAACCCCGUAGCUCAAGUGCGACAGGCAGAAAC
rnacentral:rRNA from 1 species